rnacentral:rRNA from 1 species
UACGGAGGAUGCGAGCGUUAUCCGGAUUUAUUGGGUUUAAAGGGUGCGUAGGCGGGAUGCCAAGUCAGCGGUCAAAUACGGGGGCUCAACCUGCGUCCGCCGUUGAAACUGGCAGUCUCGAGUUGGAGAGAAGUAUGCGGAAUGCGCGGUGUAGCGGUGAAAUGCAUAGAUAUCGCGCAGAACUCCGAUUGCGAAGGCAGCAUACCGGCGCUCAACUGACGCUCAUGCACGAAAGUGUGGGUAUCGAACAGG